AUUGAACGCUGGCGGCAGGCCUAACACAUGCAAGUCGAACGAGUGGCGGACGGGUGAGUAAUGUCUGGGAAACUGCCCGAUGGAGGGGGAUAACUCCUGGAAACGGUAGCUAAUACCGCAUACUAUCGGAUGUGCCCAUAUGGGAUUAGCUAGUAGUUAGGGUAAAGGCUCACCUAGGCGACGAUCCCUACCUGGUCUGAGAGGAUGAUCAGCCACACUGGAACUGAUACACGGUCCAGACUCCUACGGGAGGCAGCAGUGGGGAAUAUUGCACAAUGGGCGCAAGCCUGAUGCAGCCAUGCCGCGUGUAUGAAGAAGGCCUUCGGGUUGUAAAGUACUUUCAGCGGGGAGGCGUUACCCGAAGAAGAAGCACCGGCUAACUCCGUGCCAGCCGCCGCGGUAAUAC
rnacentral:rRNA from 1 species